CAAUGGCAGGUACAGAGGGAUGCUACCGGGCGACCGGAUGCGGAUCUCGAAAGCCUGUCCCAGUUCGGACUGGAGUCUGCAACCCGACUCCACGAAGUUGGAUUCGCUAGUAAUCGCGCAUCAGCCAUGGCGCGGUGAAUACGUUCCCGGGCCUUGUACACACCGCCCGUCAAGCCAUGGGAGCCGGGGGCGCCUGAAGUCCGGGACCGCGAGGACCGGCCUAGGGCGAAACUGGUAACUGGGGCUAAGUCGUAACAAGGUAUC
rnacentral:rRNA from 1 species